UACAGAGGUCUCAAGCGUUGUUCGGAUUCAUUGGGCGUAAAGGGUGCGUAGGUGGCGCCGUAAGUCGGGUGUGAAAUUUCGGAGCUUAACUCCGAAACUGCAUUCGAUACUGCGGUGCUUGAGGACUGGAGAGGAGACUGGAAUUUACGGUGUAGCGGUGAAAUGCGUAGAUAUCAGGAGGAACACCGGUGGCGAAGGCGGGUCUCUGGACAGUUCCUGACGCUGAGGCACGAAGGUCAGGGGAGCAAACGGG
rnacentral:rRNA from 1 species